AGGAGCUCCUUGGGGCUUUUGAUUGACUUUCUGAGCCUUGUAGGUUUCAUUUCCCGAAUCUUAGUAAGCUUCACUCUCUUUCUACGAAGGAAUGCUUUAAUUCUAAGGAAAUUUCUGCCUAGCAGUGUGUAUUAUUACACGCCCGGGUUUGUAUGGUUUUGAUACAUAUAUGUAUUUGAUAAGAUGUGAUAUUAAAAAAAUUCUACAUGAGCCAGCACUUGGAAGGUCAAAGCAGGAAGACUGGGAUUUUAGGAUUAUCCUUAACUGCAUAGCGAGUCCAAGUCCAGUGUGAACUACAUGAAACUCUGUCUCAACAUGCCCCAAAUCUGUUUAGUAAACUCUGCCAUUAUUAUAUAGCUAAUAAGAAAAGGUUAAUGUUAAAAAGAAACGUAAUUCUGGGCAUGUGGCACACAAGUUUGAGGCUAGCGUGUGAGUCCCAGACUAGUCUUUGUGUAGGCCAGGGCUAGGCAUGGUGGCUGCCUUCACAGGAAAAACACCAUGAUGAAAAUGAACUGGAGGAAAAUUCUGUAAGCCUAGCACUGAAGAGGCUGAGGCAAGCAGACCACAAGUUAAAGCCCUCGCUGGCCCCAGGGUAAAAGCCCACUGGGACCUACAUACUGAGGGCAUGUCACAAAAACACAAACUAAUUAAGCUCCAGGGCAUCGGGUAUGUGUAGGUUUGUGUUGCUGAAACAACCCAAAACAUGGAUUUUUAGAUUUCUUCCAAGUCUAUAUGAGCUUAGUUAGCAGUUGACUUUUAGGCCAAAUCAUAGUGCAUUUAACCUGGCUCCUCUCCAGUAGGCCUGUUUCUAUUAGUAGGGCUAUCAACAGUCAAUAG
rnacentral:lncRNA from 1 species